GUUAAGGAGGAGCACCCUGCCACCUAAAACUAGGAUGAGUUACUCUUCCUAGCUCUUGGGGUCAUUGCAAGCCYCAUCCGUUUGCACAAGAUGCCCCGAUGGCGGGGCAACACUUAAUUUAAAAAAACCUCCUUUUGAAAAUGUGCAAAGGCAGUGGAAAUGUGAGCUGCAAAUGUUUAAAAUACCAAUGGAAAAACUCUUAAGCUAGGUAUAUAUGUCACCUGUAGGGAUGACUACUACACGAAUGUUUGGAAAUACAGUGGCUGGUCCGGUUUACAACCUAUUUAAUUGCAAACUUCUUAUUUUGACCAAAAUUUACAUCUGCAGUGUUGUUUUAUUUGGAUCCUGUCAUAGUAGGACAUACUGUUGUCAGCUUGUUUCCAGCCUGGGAAGUACUGUAAGCAUCCCGUAUUCCUGUGGCCCAGCUAGCUUUUCUAUGGGAGAAACAUACCAGAAGAUCCUGCAGCUCUGCUUCAUUGUUGAAUCUGAGGUUCAGAGUGGACACCCUUAAUUCCUGAACUGAUGAGAGCUUAGGUGUGGCUAGUUCAAAUCUUUGACUCAGAUGUGGUUAACUGCUCCUAUUUAAAGGAUGUAAAAAUACCUAAAGCAUUCAACAGGACCUAAAGCACUCCCUUACACUUUUGUKUCUUCAUUCUCUGUAAAUCAUUCAGUAGUAAAUCAUUCCAGCUCAAUUCUACCUUGAUUUUCCUUUGUAUGUUUCAUCCAUAUAGUAAAAGAGUGAACCUUGCCAUCAGAUGUUUAAGUUCUGCUUUUACAAAUUCAUAUUAAACCAACUUUUUCUGUUGCAUUUGGUGGCAAUUCUUUAAGCAACCUAAACCAUUCAUUCAAUGCGGAGCUCUUAUGAAAUUCAUCAGAUAACCAGAGCAGAGGUAGAAGUAACAAUAUUGAGAAUUACAUGUCCUUGGUUUUCUCACUAUGUGAAAUCGAGUGAUAGAGCUUGUGUCAUGUCUUACCUGCAGCUCCACACCCUCUGUACAGACAGACAAAGGUUUUUCUUCAGAAAGAAAGGUUGCACUAUUUUUUAGAAGUUGUAGGUUGCUGAGUUGUUUGUUUACUGUUUCAGCUCUGUUGAAUACGCGUUUGUAAUCAGAAUAGAUGACAGCAGGAUUUCUUCUGCGCUGUGUCAGCCAGUCAUAUACAAAUGCCAUUUAUAAAGGGAUUCAGUGGAACCACAUGAUGUGAUCCUGAGUACAACCUGGCCUGUUGUACUUACUGAAAUGUCAUUUCAUGAUCCUUCCAGAUCAUGGAAUUGUUGUGCUGAUGCCAGGGAAGGGGAAAGGCCAUUCACAGCAAUAUCUCGCCUCACACAGUGUGCGUGCCUGGUUGCUAAUCUGUACGUGCACAGGUGGAAAAACCACUGGAAGGUUUCAUUACAUCUGUACAGAUAGUUCAGCAGCACAUGAACUGCCACCUUUAACUUGCAGGGAUAAAAAUGAGCUUGCCACACUUGAAUACUUGACCCUCCACUUCGAUGUGUUUCUGAACCUGUUAUCUUCUUUCAGCUUUCUGCAUUGUGGAAUUCUGUUCUAUUCAUUGGGAGUGAGUAACAUCCCCUUCAUGAAGUUAUUAUUCUGCUCUGCUUUUCUCUAUCUGUGAUAUGCUGAAAUGAUGUUUAAAGUGGACUGCAUGCUCCUGUAAUUUCUCUUCUGAAGCAAAAGCACAGCACUGAAAACAAAUUAACCAGGAAAAAAAAAAAAAGAGAAAAAAAAUCAACUAAAUCAACUAAAUACAAUGGAAUGAAAUUUUGGAAGAAAUAUGUCGACUGUGAUGGAAAGUAAAAGGAUACUAGAGUUGGAAAUGCAGAUGUUGCUGGCUCUGGGAUUGGUAUUGUGUUAGGUCUGAACUGGAGCGCAGUGUGCCUGGAACAAAAUGGUCAUUGCUGCUUAAAACUACUCGGACACAUUUCCCAUUAUGGCGAUCCUGGAGUGAGGUGGUCAUUGUGCCUGRAGGAAGACACAGGACAGCUUUAAUUCAGUAAAUUCUUAAUGCUACUUCUUAGGUGAUUUGUGAGUUGGGUAUCCUGUGUGAAAGACACUUCUUUUUUUACUUACUUACCACCAUUUCRCUAAACAGUCCUAAAUGGUACUGUCUUCCAGUUCUACAGUGACCUGAAAUCUCUGGGUCCAAGAGCUAUAUACUUUCUAAUACUGUAUUAUAAUAAGUAUUUCCUCUUCAGAAAUUAUUGCAUGAUUUUCACUUUUUAAAUGGACAUAAUUUUCAAUAAGCAUCUAGUGUGUUUGCUGCAUUUUGGUAAUUUUCUUGAAACUAGAUUGAUAAUUCCACUAGUAAAAUAUGUAUGCUCUUGAAAAUCAAWUAUACAGUAUUUCAGUUAUUUUUUAAAUUAUUAUAGCAUAUUUCUUGUAKUACUGUUAGCUAAUUAAUAUGUACAAACAUAACCAAUUUACAAACUUUGUUCUUUUGCACAUCAAGAGGAUAUUACACUGUUACUUAGCACUGAUAUUUUUGUGGCUACUCUCCAGGCCUCUGUGUCAUUAUCAUUUAAAUUCUUCAUCAGUUCAAAAGGGUUCAUUAGGUACUGGGAAUGAAAAUAGCAUCACUGCAGAAUCAGAUAUGCGUGUUGUAAUUGAUAUAUGAUUUUGACCUGUAGGAGUGGGUGUCAUUGUCACAGUAUUUCUGUAAGCAGGAAGAAAAGAGUCUGUUAACUAUCCAUCAACAGUUGUGUCCAAAGCUUAUGGUGUAAAAGUAGAGAACAAGCAGAGUGGCCAAGAAAAAGUAAGGAUAACAGAGUCUUAUUUGUGAGCUAAGCAAUGUUGACAGUGCAGAAAGUACAUAGAUUUACAUGCAGUUUUAAAAUUGAGCUAGAAAUUUAUCUAACUGCUAGAUAUUUCUGAAACGAUUACUGCAUUUCUGCUCUGAUAUUUAAAAAGGUUCUAACUGAGCUUGUCAGGUUGGUUAGUCCCACUAUGAAAACUAUAGUUUUAAUAUACUUUUAUGUGGUUUGAUAUUUUUGUUUGAUAUUUAUAUGUUUACAACAUUUU